UGAAUACGAGACGCUAAGGCGUCGAAGUAGUGUAUGUCAUACUUCCAAGAAAAGCCUUCACUGUCAUAGAUAAAAAACGCCUGUACCAUAACCGACACAGGUGGGUAGGUAGAGUAUACUAAGGGGCGCGAGAUAACUCUCUCUAAGGAACUCGGCAAAAUAACUCCGUAACUUCGGGAGAAGGAGUGCCUUAUUCGUAAGGUUGCAAUAACAAGAUCCAAGCAACUGUUUAUCAAAAACACAGGUCUCCGCUAAGUCGUAAGACGAUGUAUGGGGGCUGACGCCUGCCCAGUGCCAGAAGGUUAAAGAAGUUGGUUAGCAAUUGCGAAGCUGAUAACUGAAGCCCUGGUGAACGGCGGCCGUAACGAUAACGGUCCUAAGGUAGCGAAAUUCCUUGUCGGGUAAGUUCCGACCCGCACGAAAGGCGUAUGAUUUGGAUACUGUCUCGGAGAGGGGCUCGGUGAAAUAGACUUGUCUGUGAAGAUGCGGACUACCUGCACCAGGACAGAAAGACCCUAUGAAGCUUUACUGUAACUUGAAAUUGAAAUUGGACUUUAUUCGCGCAGUAUAGGUGGGAGGCGUUGAUUAUAAUCUUGUGGGAUUAUUGGAGCCAUCAGUGAGAUACCACUCUUGUAAUGUUAGAUUUCUAACUUUGAAUCAUCAUCUGGUCAAAGAACAGUUUCAGGCGGGCAGUUUGACUGGGGCGGUCGCCUCCUAAACGGUAACGGAGGCGUACAAAGGUUUCCUCUGAACGGUUAGAAAUCGUAUCUAGAGUGUAAAGGCAUAAGGAAGCUUGACUGUGAGACCUACAAGUCGAGCAGGGACGAAAGUCGGUCUUAGUGAUCUGACGGUACUGAGUGGAAAGGCCGUCACUCAACGGAUAAAAGUUACUCUAAGGAUAACAGGCUGAUCUCCCCCAAGAGUUCACAUCGACGGGGAGGUUUGGCACCUUGAUGUCGGCUCAUCGCAUCCUGGGGCGGUAGUACGUCCCAAGGGUUGGGCUGUUCGCCCAUGAAAGCGGUACGCGAGCUGGGUUCAGAACGUCGUGAGACAGUUCGGUCCAUAUCCGGUGUAGGCGUUAGAAUAUUGAGAGGAGCCUUCUUUAGUACGAGAGGACCGAGAAGGACAUACCUCUGGUGUACCAGUUAUCGUGCCAACGGUAAACGCUGGGUAGCUAUGUAUGGAGUGGAUAACCGCUGAAAGCAUCUAAGUGGGAAGCCCACCUCAAGAUAAGUAUUCUC
rnacentral:rRNA from 1 species